rnacentral:rRNA from 1 species
UACGUAGGGUGCGAGCGUUAAUCGGAAUUACUGGGCGUAAAGCGUGCGCAGGCGGUGAUGUAAGACCGAUGUGAAAUCCCCGGGCUUAACCUGGGAACUGCAUUUGUGACUGCACAGCUGGAGUGCGGCAGAGGGGGGAUGGAAUUCCGCGUGUAGCAGUGAAAUGCGUAGAUAUCGGAAGGAACAUCAGUGGCGAAAGCGGCUUCCUGGACCAGCACCGACGUUCAGGCACGAAAGCGUGGGGAGCAAACAGG